GGCGCCGUACCCAAGUGGCCAAGGGGGAGGCCUGCAAAGCCUCUAUUCGUGGGUUCGAUUCCCACCGGCGCCUCCA
rnacentral:tRNA from 2 species